GGGAGGGAGAGAAUGGAGAGCAGCGCAUUGAUCGGGGAAAGCCCCCUUCCAGCAGACACAGGACGGGCUCUUGACCGGACCCUUUCCUUCUCCAGGCACUGAAGGAGGACGUGGAGAUGGAGAUGAAAAAACUCCAGAAGGCACAACGGAGGGUCGAAAAGCGCACUGCCCCCAGGAGGAAGAUGACACGCAGGGAAGAGCACAUGAGUUCCCUGAUGCAGGAGGCAGUGGCAGUGCGAUUGGGCGUUUCUGCUGUUCUUGGGCCUGCUGCAGCUUGUCUUCUUCACCCUGUUUGUGCUGCAGAAGGACAUCCUUCGCUGGGUCCUGCCUGGAGAGCUGGCGACUGCCCUUGGCAUCCGUCCACCUAAGCCCACUCUUUUCUGACCCCAGAACACACUGCGGCCCUUCAUCGGGACAACAUUGGGUCUGCACAAACAUGAGGGGUCUGUCACCAUUGUCACCCUGUCACCAAUCAUGUCAAUAAAAUCC
ensembl:lncRNA